AUUGAACGCUGGCGGCAGGCCUAACACAUGCAAGUCGAGCGAGCGGCGGACGGGUGAGUAAUGUCUGGGAAACUGCCUGAUGGAGGGGGAUAACUCCUGGAAACGGUAGCUAAUACCGCAUACCAUCAGAUGUGCCCAGAUGGGGUGGGCUAGUAGGUGGGGUAACGGCUCACCCAGGCGACGAUCCCUAGCUGGUCGGAGAGGAUGACCAGCCACACUGGAACUUAGACACGGUCCAGACUCGUACGGGAGGCAGCAGUGGGGAAUAUUGCACAAUGGGCGCAAGCCUGAUGCAGCCAUGCCGCGUGUGUGAAGAAGGCCUUCGGGUUGUAAAGCACUUUCAGCGGGGAGGCGUUACCCGCAGAGGAAGCACCGGCUAACUCCGUGCCAGCAGCCGCGGUAAUUC
rnacentral:rRNA from 1 species